rnacentral:tRNA from 1 species
GGUUGUAGCUCAGUGGUAGAGCAUUUGCCUAGCAUGUGUGAAGCCCUGGGUUCAAUCCCCAGUACCA